AGAGUUUGAUCCUGGCUCAGGACGAACGCUGGCGGCGUGCUUAACACAUGCAAGUCGAACGAUGAAGCCUAGCUUGCUAGGUGGAUUAGUGGCGAACGGGUGAGUAAUACGUGAGUAACCUACCUUUAACUCUGGGAUAAGCCCGGGAAACUGGGUCUAAUACCGGAUACGACCAAUCUCCGCAUGGGGUGUUGGUGGAAAGCGUUAUGUAGUGGUUAUAGAUGGGCUCACGGCCUAUCAGCUUGUUGGUGAGGUAACGGCUCACCAAGGCGACGACGGGUAGCCGGCCUGAGAGGGUGACCGGCCACACUGGGACUGAGACACGGCCCAGACUCCUACGGGAGGCAGCAGUGGGGAAUAUUGCACAAUGGGCGCAAGCCUGAUGCAGCGACGCCGCGUGAGGGAUGACGGCCUUCGGGUUGUAAACCUCUGUUAGCAGGGAAGAAGAGAGAUUGACGGUACCUGCAGAGAAAGCGCCGGCUAACUACGUGCCAGCAGCCGCGGUAAU
rnacentral:rRNA from 1 species